GUGAAUCCUUGUCUGUUGCUUCGAGUGGUUCGGUCGGUAUCAGAGCGCGCCAUGUCUACACUUUGCGCCUGACAGUCAGUGGACCAGCAGGGCAGGUGGAAGGAAGUCGAUCCUUGCAAGACCAAGAUUCCUCCUACAUGCCAUGAUUAUAGUGUGCCUGACCAAUGGAAGAAGACAAGAGCUGCUGUCAAGAAGUUGCAUCUGUCCUACUCAGACCCAUCACGGAAGGUCUGCUAAUAAACGGGGUCCGAUAUUAUUAUACACUUCAUGGAUGCUAACAUACCUUCUUCAUAUGGCCUGCAAACUGACAAUGGAAAUGACGAGAAUAACCUGCAGAACUCCGCAAGAUUAGGUCCUGUGAUCAUCAAGAGCUGCUCGUCUCAAGACGACGCGUACAGUCCAAGCUUCACACCAGCACACCUCGUUAAGAAAUACUUAUCACAGCCAUCAAUCAUUUGCAGUUGUUCAUUUGCAUUAUUGUCAGUUUCCACGAGGUAUCUGCAAGAAGCGUGUUAAGCCUGAAGAAAAUAUAGAUCAGUCUUCUGGAGUUGUACAUGUGUAUAUUAAAUAUAAAACAUUUAAUAUAUCUAGAAAUUAUACAUGAAGCUACUAAAAAUGUAAUAUUUAACUAUAGAAGUAUUAAUGUAAUAAUAUUUAACUACAGAAGUAUUAGUGAGUUUAUUAAAAGGAAACCUUAAAAACAUGUAGCAUAUUCACGAUUCACGAUUUAACCAACCAUAAUAAAAUACUCAUGCAC